AUUGAACGCUGGCGGCAUGCCUUACACAUGCAAGUCGAACGGCAGCACGGACUUCGGUCUGGUGGCGAGUGGCGAACGGGUGAGCAAUAUAUCGGAACGUACCUUUCAGUGGGGGAUAACUAUCCGAAAGGAUAGCUAAUACCGCAUAUUCUGUGAGCAGGAAAGCAGGGGAUCUUCGGACCUUGCGCUGAUUGAGCGGCCGAUAUCAGAUUAGCUAGUUGGUGGGGUAAAGGCCUACCAAGGCGACGAUCUGUAGCGGGUCUGAGAGGAUGAUCCGCCACACUGGAACUGAGACACGGUCCAGACUCCUACGGGAGGCAGCAGUGGGGAAUUUUGGACAAUGGGGGCAACCCUGAUCCAGCCAUGCCGCGUGAGUGAAGAAGGCCUUCGGGUUGUAAAGCUCUUUCGUCCGGGAAGAAAUCGCAUUGGUUAAUACCUGAUGUGGACGACGGUACCGGAAUAAGAAGCACCGGCUAACUACGUGCCAGCAGCCGCAGUAAAAC
rnacentral:rRNA from 1 species